GUCGAACGAUGAACCACUUCGGUGGGGAUUAGUGGCGAACGGGUGAGUAACACGUGGGCAAUCUGCCCUUCACUCUGGGACAAGCCCUGGAAACGGGGUCUAAUACCGGAUACCACUACCGCAGGCAUCUGUGGUGGUUGAAAGCUCCGGCGGUGAAGGAUGAGCCCGCGGCCUAUCAGCUUGUUGGUGAGGUAAUGGCUCACCAAGGCGACGACGGGUAGCCGGCCUGAGAGGGCGACCGGCCACACUGGGACUGAGACACGGCCCAGACUCCUACGGGAGGCAGCAGUGGGGAAUAUUGCACAAUGGGCGAAAGCCUGAUGCAGCGACGCCGCGUGAGGGAUGACGGCCUUCGGGUUGUAAACCUCUUUCAGCAGGGAAGAAGCGAAAGUGACGGUACCUGCAGAAGAAGCGCCGGCUAACUACGUGC
rnacentral:rRNA from 1 species